GGAGAGAAUUUAUGAUUCUCUUCAUCAUGUGAGGCCUCAAAUAAAAAUAUUCACAAAGAUGAGUGUAUAAACAAUCCCAGUCCACGAAUAGGGCUACAAUUAGAUAAGAUCUGACAAUUGGAGCUGACAAUUCAUCUGUUGAUUCAGCCUUCUCGCAUGGGAAAGAUUUUAUACAAACAGAAAAGAGUCAUCAAAGUUGGCAAUUGAGUAAAAUCCCUCUGUAAAUAUUCAAGUGAUCCAGGAAUAGCCCUUAGGUAAGAUCAUGUAGAAAAUGUACAUCUCAAAGGCACAGAGCUGUAACUUCAAG